GGUUAAGCGACUAAGCGUACACGGUGGAUGCCCUGGCAGUCAGAGGCGAUGAAGGACGUGCUAAUCUGCGAUAAGCGCCGGUAAGGUGAUAUGAACCGUUAUAACCGGCGAUUUCCGAAUGGGGAAACCCAGUGUGAUUCGUCACACUAUCAUUAACUGAAUCCAUAGGUUAAUGAGGCGAACCGGGGGAACUGAAACAUCUAAGUACCCCGAGGAAAAGAAAUCAACCGAGAUUCCCCCAGUAGCGGCGAGCGAACGGGGAGGAGCCCAGAGCCUGAAUCAGCAUGUGUGUUAGUGGAAGCGUCUGGAAAGGUGCGCGAUACAGGGUGACAGCCCCGUACACAAAAGCGCAUGUGCUGUGAGCUCGAUGAGUAGGGCGGGACACGUGGUAUCCUGUCUGAAUAUGGGGGGACCAUCCUCCAAGGCUAAAUACUCCUGACUGACCGAUAGUGAACCAGUACCGUGAGGGAAAGGCGAAAAGAACCCCGGCGAGGGGAGUGAAAAAGAACCUGAAACCGUGUACGUACAAGCAGUGGGAGCACAGGUUUACCUGUGUGACUGCGUACCUUUUGUAUAAUGGGUCAGCGACUUAUAUUCUGUAGCAAGGUUAACCGAAUAGGGGAGCCGGAGGGAAACCGAGUCUUAAUUGGGCGUUAAGUUGCAGGGUAUAGACCCGAAACCCGGUGAUCUAGCCAUGGGCAGGUUGAAGGUUGGGUAACACUAACUGGAGGACCGAACCGACUAAUGUUGAAAAAUUAGCGGAUGACCUGUGGCUGGGGGUGAAAGGCCAAUCAAACCGGGAGAUAGCUGGUUCUCCCCGAAAGCUAUUUAGGUAGCGCCUCGUGAAUUCAUCUCCGGGGGUAGAGCACUGUUUCGGCUAGGGGGCCAUCCCGGCUUACCAACCCGAUGCAAACUGCGAAUACCGGAGAAUGUUAUCACGGGAGACACACGGCGGGUGCUAACGUCCGUCGUGAAGAGGGAAACAACCCAGACCGCCAGCUAAGGUCCCAAAGUCAUGGUUAAGUGGGAAACGAUGUGGGAAGGCCCAGACAGCCAGGAUGUUGGCUUAGAAGCAGCCAUCAUUUAAAGAAAGCGUAAUAGCUCACUGGUCGAGUCGGCCUGCGCGGAAGAUGUAACGGGGCUAAACCAUGCACCGAAGCUGCGGCAGCGAACGUAUCACUUAAAGCGAUUCAGCGGGUUACGAUUGACGGAGCGAAGCGACGUCAAAGCGUAUACAAAGUCGAGUCGGUUUAAGGAUACGUUCGUUGGGUAGGGGAGCGUUCUGUAAGCCCGUGAAGGUGGCCUGUGAGGGUUGCUGGAGGUAUCAGAAGUGCGAAUGCUGACAUAAGUAACGAUAAAGCGGGUGAAAAGCCCGCUCGCCGGAAGACCAAGGGUUCCUGUCCAACGUUAAUCGGGGCAGGGUGAGUCGACCCCUAAGGCGAGGCCGAAAGGCGUAGUCGAUGGGAAACGGGUUAAUAUUCCCGUACUUGGUGUUACUGCGAAGGGGGGACGGAGAAGGCUAUGUUGGCCGGGCGACGGUUGUCCCGGUUUAAGCGUGUAGGUGUGUGUUCCAGGUAAAUCCGGUUCACUUUAACACUGAGGCGUGACGACGAGGCACUACGGUGCUGAAGCAACAAAUGCCCUGCUUCCAGGAAAAGCCUCUAAGCAUCAGGUAACACGAAAUCGUACCCCAAACCGACACAGGUGGUCAGGUAGAGAAUACCAAGGCGCUUGAGAGAACUCGGGUGAAGGAACUAGGCAAAAUGGUGCCGUAACUUCGGGAGAAGGCACGCUGACACGUAGGUGAAGUGAUUUACUCAUGGAGCUGAAGUCAGUCGAAGAUACCAGCUGGCUGCAACUGUUUAUUAAAAACACAGCACUGUGCAAACACGAAAGUGGACGUAUACGGUGUGACGCCUGCCCGGUGCCGGAAGGUUAAUUGAUGGGGUCAGCGCAAGCGAAGCUCCUGAUCGAAGCCCCGGUAAACGGCGGCCGUAACUAUAACGGUCCUAAGGUAGCGAAAUUCCUUGUCGGGUAAGUUCCGACCUGCACGAAUGGCGUAAUGAUGGCCAGGCUGUCUCCACCCGAGACUCAGUGAAAUUGAACUCGCUGUGAAGAUGCAGUGUACCCGCGGCAAGACGGAAAGACCCCGUGAACCUUUACUAUAGCUUGACACUGAACAUUGAGCCUUGAUGUGUAGGAUAGGUGGGAGGCUUUGAAGUGUGGACGCCAGUCUGCAUGGAGCCGACCUUGAAAUACCACCCUUUAAUGUUUGAUGUUCUAACGUGGACCCGUAAUCCGGGUUGCGGACAGUGUCUGGUGGGUAGUUUGACUGGGGCGGUCUCCUCCUAAAGAGUAACGGAGGAGCACGAAGGUUGGCUAAUCCUGGUCGGACAUCAGGAGGUUAGUGCAAUGGCAUAAGCCAGCUUGACUGCGAGCGUGACGGCGCGAGCAGGUGCGAAAGCAGGUCAUAGUGAUCCGGUGGUUCUGAAUGGAAGGGCCAUCGCUCAACGGAUAAAAGGUACUCCGGGGAUAACAGGCUGAUACCGCCCAAGAGUUCAUAUCGACGGCGGUGUUUGGCACCUCGAUGUCGGCUCAUCACAUCCUGGGGCUGAAGUAGGUCCCAAGGGUAUGGCUGUUCGCCAUUUAAAGUGGUACGCGAGCUGGGUUUAGAACGUCGUGAGACAGUUCGGUCCCUAUCUGCCGUGGGCGCUGGAGAACUGAGGGGGGCUGCUCCUAGUACGAGAGGACCGGAGUGGACGCAUCACUGGUGUUCGGGUUGUCAUGCCAAUGGCACUGCCCGGUAGCUAAAUGCGGAAGAGAUAAGUGCUGAAAGCAUCUAAGCACGAAACUUGCCCCGAGAUGAGUUCUCCCUGAGACUUAGAGUCUCCUGAAGGAACGUUGAAGACGACGACGUUGAUAGGCCGGGUGUGUAAGCGCAGCGAUGCGUUGAGCUAACCGGUACUAAUGAACCGUGAGGCUUAACCUU
rnacentral:rRNA from 1 species